rnacentral:misc_RNA from 1 species
CAGGUAUGCGAUAGUGCCUCAAAUCUUUAUUUCAACAUGAAUAUGAGCUACAAGUUUAUUGGAUUUAACAAAUGUUCAACUGGGUGAAUUUUUAACCCUUUACAAGAAUAAGAGAACUUAGCAUAUACAGCAAAGGAAAGGAAAUUUAUGUGCAGUAAAACAAUGUAACCAAUGCUAUAUUUGUACAACCAAACUUUUUCAACAUCCAUCUGUCUUCACGACCUGCUUUUACUUCCAGAAAAAACAGUUUCUACAUCUGCAUUUAUUCUUUUUCUUAUUUAUCAGGGCUGCAUUUGAAAAACUCUAUUGUACCAAACAGAGUGUAGUAUCAUAUGAAAGAGAUCAUAUUUCACAGGCCGAGCAUGCCAAAGAAAAUGCUGCUGCACCUUUUUGACUCUCAUCUGCAUCACUCUAUACCUUUUCUCUGGGAUUGAAAGGAGUAUGUUCUUCAAAUUUGGAAUGUCCUUCUCCAAGACGAAAACAGCAAAUGAUUCCCAGUUCAAAACCUCAAAAAAUGGUGGCACAUAAUUGUCUGAUAUAAUAACUGGAACACACUCAUACAUAAUAGCCUCCACGAUUCGUGGACUAUUGACUUCAUAACCUCUGGCACAAAUACAGUACUUGCUGCUCUUCAUGUGCUGGGCAUAGCUCAUUUUGCCUCGAACCUUGGGCAUCCGACCAAAUAUUUUCAUGUCUGGAUCUUUGUUUGCCCAGUGCUUCAACAGCAUUGGUCGUAGAUAGCCGUGCAAGCCACCUGCAAAGAAAGCCAGGAUUGGCCUCUGUGAAGGAGGUUUGCCACCAAGACCUCUAAGAGGAUUCUGGGGCAUAAGUACAUUUGUCUCUGGAAGAGACACGUCCUUACCAAAAACAAAACCUUCUUUAACAUCAGCAUUGCAAAGCGCUCUUAUGCAGUUAGACAUAAGCUGUUUUGUUUCAGCUGGGGCCUGAGAAAGGGGUGUUUAUUAGAAAAAUCAUCAAUGUAAAUAUGUAAUCAUAAGCCAUACAGAAAUUAAAAAAUAAAUUAAAACAAAUUGCAUAAAUAACACCCGACCAGCAACAAACAGGAUCUCAGUAGGAAAAAAAAAUGAGAAUUAUUAUGGACACUAUGCAGAAUAAGAUGGAAUUAUUCCAGAUGCAUGAAAAUGCCAAAACCCCACACUGAUUUUGAAUGGGAAAAGGAAUCUAAGGAAUCAUUAGAAACAUACCCAGUCAUGACAAGCAACAAGAAAAUGAUCCACUCCUUCAGUUCUGUUCCAGAAAGGAUAUUUUGCCACGAUAGUGUCCAAGUAGUUCUUUAAAUAUUGCAUGAGGUUCUUAUGAUUAUGUGAAUUAGGCACAUAUAAUUGCAACUCUAGGUUUCGAGAACUAAACGGCAAGUAAAACAGGUGGGCUUUUCUUGGUUUUUUGGUAACAAAUUUUUUGCUAGCCUCCAUCAGCUUCAUGAACCAUCCCUCUGAAGCAUAUAUACCCUUGAGUACUGGCUGAUGGACAAUGGGCCUUUCUCCUUCCUUGUAGAUAUAUACUUUCAGCAUGUCUUCCAUUAAUUCAUAGCUCCUGAAAAUUUAAUGGUACACAAUUGAAUAAUAUAACAACUUUCACUUGAAUGACUUGCUUAAGCGACACCCAGUAUCGUGUUUGUGUAGAAGAUGCAAGCCUUCCAAUGAUAACUUGAGUAUAAAAGAUACUUGACCCUCUACAUAUGUGCACCAGAAGGAAUAAAUUCAUACCAAGCUUACCUUUUGAACAUGGAGAUGUUCCAAUAAAGAGGAGCAUAAAGUAUUGGAUCAUUUUUUACAAUAGGUGCAUUCUCAAUCUGUGAUUUUGCAAGUAGUAGCUCUUGGUCAACUGCUGAAACCCAUCGUGGUCUCUACAAAUAAAUUGGAAAAUAGAAAGAAAAUUUUAAGCAACUGCCAUAUGAAAGUUUAUCCUCAGAAAAAACUCGGAACAGAAGCUUUGUUAAUACCACCAAACCAGGAGAAGACCAACUCUGAAGCAGUAAGCUGUUCAUCUCAGAAACUGAAAUCACCCCUGAGGCUGGCAAUUUGGGCUUUUUCUUCACCUUAAGAAUGGUGUUCAUAGAAGAAUUAUCAUACAAUUCCGUAAUAUUAUUUUGUAGUUUGCCUGAUUUUCCACGAUUGUCCAUGCCGGGUGUUGCAUCUUUAUCCACAGCAGAUGUGUUAGGAUCAACAUGUGAAACAGGAGGUACAAUAUUAGACCCCACAUUCCUUGGGAAUGUUAUGUUUGGUGUUGAAUCUGCUGGUGGUAAUAAUGGCACAAUAGAUUCAAGACCAGAAUUUGAGGUUCCAGUAUUUUCUAAUGAGAAACUGGAAUUUUCUUCAGAAAAACUCUGUUCAGUUACUUCCGGUCUUGGCCUAAAACUUGAAUUGUUGACAGUAUCCACUGUAGAAUGUAUAUAUGGCUGUGCUAGUUGUCCAAAUGAAGACUCUCUAUCAUGGUUGUCUGUCCCAGAAGAGUUGUUCAAGUCUGCCCUUGCUUCUGAUACAUGGUCAUUACUUACAUCUGAAGUUGAGUUUUUCGGUGGAUAACUGAUAUUUUCUUGAGAAAAUGUAUGUCGAGUUUCUUCCAGCACGGACUUGUUGACAGAAUCCACAGCAGGGUGUACAUUUGGUUUUACCAACUGUUGAAGUGAAGAGUCUCUAUCAUGACUGUCUCUUCCAGAAGAAUUGUUUAAGACUGCACUACCUUCUGAUACAAGGCUCUCAUUUACGUCUGCAUCUUUUUCUUUGCCAUAAUUCUCAGCACUCUCAUGGUCAUGAUCAGCAUCAGUAGAGUUCAAACCAUUUAACUGAGUCAUGUUACUAACUGUCUCAGAUUUAGAUAAUGCACCAUCAGUUGACAAGUUACCAUUUUCUCCUAUUUGAUCUGUAUGAACUGAAGAUAUAAACGAAAAGAUUUUGUCAGAUGGUAGCUCAAAAUGUUGGAAUGUUAUUAUUACAAGAAACAUCGCUCCCACAAGCCAUAGCAAUCUCUGUGUUUCCAUUGGACACCAAAAUCGAAAUUCUUGGCCCAUUGGAAAACUGCUCUAUUAUAAGCUGUUCGACUUGUAACAGUAAAUAUCAUCCCUCCUAGGUCUGUAUAUUGCAGGGAAAAUGGCAAAUAGGUUGUUGGUUUAAGCUGCCGCUUCUUCUUCUCCUUCUUCUUCUGGUAGCGUGGCCCCGUGGUGAUGAGUUGAUGACACACAACAGAUUUUUUACUCACAGUACACCACAUAAUCGCAUAUAGUGACUUAGAAUAUUCUUGUACAUGAUGGCAAAAUGGGAACUCGAAAUAGUUAAAUGUUUUGAAGCAGCAAAUACUAAUAAUGAUAUUUUAAAGAUUUAUUAGGAGAAAAUGGGAAGGGUCUUUCUUUUACAGUGGGGCGAGGCUGUGGAUGUGGAGGAGUCGUUUCUUGCAUGGGUGAAAUUAAAAUUAGACGGCGGAGGAGAGAGGGAACGGGGCCAGAGAUUAUGAGGAACACAUGUUAUGUCACGUUGUUGACUGCAGCGACCCCCGUGAUCCCGACCCUUUCUCUGCACUGCAGCUUCUUAAAGCACAGCUCACACUUUACUGGUUCCAGUUCCAUCCAGCCCUGCUUCAGUGUUUUACUGUUACUAACCCUUUUGGCUGUCUAGCUAGUUCAACCACAAUGUAAUCUGCUUACACUUGUAAUAUCAUUUUGUCAUCUUAAGAAAUUAGCAAUUAUUAUUACAAUGUUCUUCUAACAAAAUGAUUCUAGUAGGGAAAACUUCAAAUAUAAAUUGGUGAUUAAUCACUUGAUCUAAUUUUGUUAAGUACAUGGUUCAGGAACAAAAUCAAACUAGGGCUGCACCACUGCACCCAUCAAUAAAAAGCAUGACCCUGUGCAGCUAGAUGCUAAAACAGAAUAGUUGUUGCAGGUUAAAACUUAAAACAAAUAUUGCACAGUCAAUCCGCGUGCAUUCUUGUUAUUUCUCUAGCAUGCUCUGUUUGUUCUCUCUUUUCUCAUUACUCUUCAACUACACAUCUUAUUUGUUGUCUUGGAUAAGCCACACAGGCUACAGCAAUAGCAUCUGGAUAAUUCGCAGAGGAAAGCAUUUUGUUUUCUUUUGCUCCAACAGUUCCACCUCCGCUAAAAAUUGCCAUUAGUAUUGCACUUUGCGUUCCUUAUUCAAUUACAGCUUUUAUCCCACUCUGAAAAUGAUGUAAAUUAAUUUGAAGUAUCCUCUACUUCAAGUUGCUUCCCCAAUUUCCUCAAUGCUAGUGAAUAUAUAGUUUUCCUCCUCACUGAUGUUUUUUCAGCCACCAAUUUGACUGCCUGAAGGCACAUCAAUGUAAUCAUAAUCAUAGUUUGUAAUACCUCUAAAACUUGUCACAUAAACAAGACAGAAGGGUGAUCAUAACGAGGCACUACCACUUCAGUUAUAAAAAGGUCCAGGCUGAAUAUCACUACCAUGUAUAUUGAUUUGCAACGAAUAAUGUUCAUCAGGGAUCCAUAUUAGUUUAAUUAGAGCACAAUCUUAAAAGAAUAAAUAGGCAUCAUAAAUCUCCCAAUGCUUUUGUACAGUGUAAAAAAGGAGUACGCCAAUGGACAAUAAGUGAUAUUAUUGUAACGUUCCUUGCAGCUAUCCUGUCACAUUCAAGACGGUACUUACAUAUUUCCAAAAAGAAAAUAGUGUACUUCAAAAAAGAGUAAUGGUCUAAUAUAUCCUGUAGUUUGCAUGUUCUUUCAACUGCAUUCAUAUCCUAUAUUUUUAAAUUCUAUUAAUUUUGUUUGAAAUUCCCUUUACUAGGGGGGUGACGUUCCAAUAUAUCAUAAUUUCAAAUUCAACGGCCUAUUAGUUUAUAUUUAAUUCGAGCAUUUAAUUUGAAAUUUCCUGAGCUAACACAAAUUCCCAAUAUCAAUCUUCUGAAGUGUUCAGCGGAGUAUAAAUGAAUUUAUAUCACUUCCCUAUAACAAAAAAAUUGAUCCAACUUAAUUCUAAUCAAAGUAGUCAUUACCAUAGAUAGACUAUGCCCACUAGAGAUCAGGUCUCUCAAAUCAUUCUCAAGCUGAUUCUCUGAUGGAGGUUCAACCAGAUGAUUCAACUUGCCUUCAAUCAACAGCGUGAUCUCUCCCUUAGGUUGGUGACCUGAAAAAACUUCUUUUGCCUCCCCCAGAGUACCCCGCCAAAACUCUUCAUGUAUUUUGGUCAUUUCCCGUGCCAUGACACACUGUCUGCAAAGCAAUCGAAUGAACUGUUAUAACCAGCCUGACAAAUUAUCUAUGUUAAUUAACACAAGAAAGACAAGGGUGGAAAUAAAUUUUAUUAAACUAGAUGUAUACAACUAGUGAUGCAGUAAUUGAUAAAUUCAGAAAUGUAAAUCCAUCCACCUUUAAAUGAGACAUAGUUGCGUUGUGAUCAAGUGAAAGUAAACUGUUAACCAGGCUUCAAAUUAUUAUAUGAUACUAGGACUUUGUUUGAGGUUAGGCUGCUCUUCUCAACUUCUCUGUGUUGCUGGCUGCAACUGAUGUUAGGUUGCUUGCAUACAACCCAUAUACUUGAGUUUACAUGUUCUUCUUCCUUAAUAAAUUAUCUUUAUUUAUCUAGUAAGAAUAUGCAAUUAAAUAAGUUCAUAACCGUCAAAGGUUGACAUAUUAGGGUGACAUCAUUGGAUAGCAAAAUGCUGUUUUCAUUAUAUGCUUCAUAAAUCCUUUGAAAAAGGUCAGCACCAAGAAGAGAUAGUUGCACAUGAAACCCUGCUAUAUCAGAAUCCUACAAGUCUUACAGGAUUAGCCACCAGAAAACAUCCAAUAUAUUUGUUACAUAUAAGAGAACUAGAUUUAGGAAUAAAUAAGAAGUGUUAAGAAAGUCGCAGGAAUAGGUGUGAAAGCCAGGUGUAAAAGCUGGGAAAAGUCAACUAGUAAAUUGGAGGGGAAAGUUGUUAACGGCAGUUACUAGAUUCUCAGCUUUUGUUGGCAGGAAUUAGAGAAUAAAAGGGCUAAAGAAACUCCUUGUUGAUUCAUCCCAGAAUUCUAUCAAUAGAAAUCUAUUUUUCUCUGUCUACAUUUCUCUUUUCUCUCUCUUCUAUCUAUUUCUCUCCUUUAUUUCUUUUCUUUCUUCUAAUUGUUGCAGGAAAUCAAAGUUAGGGUUUUAAUUCUAACAACAGAAUUGUAGCGUUACCCUUAGAACUUACAUAUCUCAAAAUCUAAUUAUCAAACUUAGAGAAUGUGGAUUAUAUAGUAGAUUGAUAACUCAAGAGAUUGUAGUCAUAGAUCAGCACAAGCGAAAUAUAUAAAAACAGGAAGCAUUCAC